UGCACUCCAGCCUGGGCAACAGAGUGAGACUCCGUCUCAAAAAUAAAUAAAUAAAUAAAUAAAUAAAAAAGAUUCUACUGUACUAAAAGUCAACUCCACAAUUCACUAGCACAUUCUAUGACUGUAGCGUAGGAUAAUAAUUUUACUGGCCUCAUCAGUUGUCUGAGGAUUAAAUGAAUAAUUAUAUGUGAAAUGUGAUAUAUAAAUGAAAAGUGUCAUAUAUAAGUGUUAUUUUUGAUCAUCACUGUGACCCGUCUUUUUGUGGAUAGCAGGUGUUUGGAUAAGGAUCUAAUUAGAGUAGAAUAAAAGGUCUCCUUCCAGCCGUUAUAUGUCCUAGUCUUAUUUAUACACAUCCCCAAGUAUACCCCUUGUGAAGAAAAUGUAAUUAAUCAUUGACCUUAGGGAAGAUACUUUUUUUCCCCCAAGUUAAUAUAAAACCUAAUGGAGGUUAUCUAGUUAAUGUUCCAGUGAUUUUGGACACGUUUAGAAUAAACUGCACCUGUAAUCUCAGACAGUUCCUACUUGCAGCUAGUUUCCUCAGUUUUUCUUCUUGCUGUGAUGAUUUAAAUAAUUUCCUUAUAGGUAAACAGAGGAGAGUAUCACAUUUUCCACUGCUAAGCACAAUGCUUUCUAAGUUGAUCAUUUUAGUGCUUCUCAAAGCUUCAGACUGAAGUGGUUUUAAGGACAUGGGAAAUGGAUCCAACCUGGUGCAACCUGUAGCAAGAAGUUUCUUCAAAGACUCCAGUCCAUUUUUUCAUGUUCCGUCAAUGUCUUUCUCCAUGCCCCAGACCUCAUCUCUGAAUGUCAGGCCUACAGUGGACACAUCCUACAACUCCCUCAAAUUCAGCAUGUUCAAAGCACAGCUCAUCAUUUCCACCUUCCCCUUGAUCUUUUCUUCUAUCUUCCCCUUGUGUUCUAGGUCUUGGUCGACCCCACUACCACCAUCCACUCAUUAUCCAGACUUGAGGGAGACCUUGGAGUCAACAGCAGCCCUUUCCCCAAUCCCCUGUCUUUUUAUUUGGUCAAUAGGUUCUGUCUUUUCUACCUCGAAUCUAUUUCCAAUGGCACCCCUUUUCUUCAUCCCUGCUGCCAUUGUGUGAAUUCAAGGCCUCAUUAUUUCGCUUCUGGAAUAUUGCAGUAGCUUUCUACUCCUUCUACUUCUAGUAACUCACCCUUCUUAACUACUGUCUCUGUCCUUCUCUCUGGUUUAUUUUCUGUGGUGUCACUCAAAUGAUCCCAUUAAAAUGUGCAGCUGCUCAUGUUACUCUCUUGCUUAAAUGCUUUCAGUGGUUACCCAUUGAAACUGAAGUUCCCUAAAAGAGACUCCAGGAUUCUUUUAGCCACUCCCAGCUAAUCCUUAGUGGAUUCCACAUCAGAGUCAUGAAAAUGCAGAUCCUCAAAGACCUCAUGCUCCCCAGGCCUCUGGGGCCUUGCACAGGUGUGCCCUCUCGCAUGCCCUUCUUCCCUUGUUUACCUUUUAAACUCUUAUUCAUCUUUCAUUCUUCAUUCUCUGUAAAAUCUUCUCUGAUUCCUCAAAUUAGAAUUAAAGGCUCUAUCUAUGCUCUGUGUUUCUUGGAGGGCAGAUGGGAUCUUAUUUUAUCAAUCUCUAUAGCUUCUACUAGCCAGUGCCUGGCUCAUGGUGAGACUUAGUAAGUACUUGUUAUGUGAGCGAGUGAAUGAAAGAGUGAAUGAGAAACUCAAGGGUCCAACAAAUAGGAAUAAAAAUUCUUGGGGACAGCAGGAAUAGUGGUUGUUGUUAAUGCCUGACCCCACUGCUCCAGUCACCCAAGAGGAAUCUGGUUCUGCUUCACUAGGGCAGUUAGGAGAGGCAUCAGGAACAAAUCUAGAACUCAACCUGGGAAAAACUGGGCAAUGGAGAAGGAAGGGGAGUUGUAAAUUGGCCAGUUUUUUUUUAGUCACAGUAUAGACACAAUGCCUCUCCAACCAUCCCCAACCCAAGUAGUAGUAUUGGAAUUUUAGAGUUUCACAGAGUAUUCAGUAGUGGUAAGAACAGCAGUAUUCCAGUCUUUUCUUUCUCUUUCAUAUUUUAUUUAUUCAUAGCACAUUAUUUGUGAAUGACAUAUUAUCAUAAAUAUAAACACAUAGCCUAAUAAUGUUAUAGAAUAGAUAUAACACCCAGACACAGAACUGAAACAUAACAGAACUGGUUUUUCUAUAAACAUCCCAAAUUUUUUUGCAUCUACCUAGUAUCCUUUGUAGGUAGUUCAAAUAUGCUUUUCUUGUUCCAAGAUUUCUAGAAACCCCUUUUAGACUAGCUAUCAAGGCAUGUAGGACCCACACAAGGGAUCAUUUUUUAAAAUAAUUGUUCUCCGUAAGUUUUACCCAGCUUAUUCACUCACUCUUUUCAAUGGAGAUGAUGCAAAUGCUAUUCCCGAAAAAUAAUUGACUUUCAAAGGACAAAGAUUUGGCACUAUUGAGGCUAUUCAAAAUAAUGAGAUGUUGCCUCUAGAAACAAUUCCAAAAGAAGUUUCAAGAAUAUUUUGAACAAUGGUAACGUUGUGAUCAUAGAUAUGUUGAUGUGCUUUAGGGACAACUCUUACUUGGAAGUAGCUAUUUUGGUACAUCUUUAGAGAAGCCAGACCAAAUCCCAGCUGGCGAAGGAGGCUUUUUGAACUUGUUGAGAAGUUUGGUGGACUAAGGGGUAUAUCAUGAAUGGUAUGAGAGUAUUGUGAGUUGGGCCAGGCAUGGUGGCUCACUCCUGUAAUCCCAGCACUUUGGAAGUCCGAGGCGGGAGGUUUGCUUGAGCCCAGGAGUUUGAGACCAGCCUGGGCAACAAAGUGAGGCCCUGUUUCUAUGAAAAAUUUAAAAAAAAAAAAUUAGCUGGUCCUGGUGGUGAAUGACUUUGGUCUCAGCUACAUGGGAAGCUGAGGCAAGAGAAUUGCUUGAGCCCAGGGGGUUGAAGCUGCAGUGAGCUGUGUUCGUGCCACUGCACUCUCACCUGGGCAACAGAGUGAGACCCUGUCUCAAAAAAAGAAAAAAAUAUUGUGAGUUAGAUUCACCAGAGCCGGAGGGUAGACUAUGAGUGGUAUGAGAGUAUUGUUUGAUUCACCUACCCAGAGGCAUUUGGUCAGUGGCUCUGUCAGUCUGUAGCCCUGUCCACAUUUCUAUUACUAACUUGAAAUGUUUCUCAGAUUUGCAGAUGACAUAUUCCUGGAGGGUAGAGUUAGCUGAUCAUUCAAAAUGAUCUUAUAAAGUCUUUUUACUGUAUAUCCUGUGACCUAAUAAAUUAACAUUUAGAUAUUUUUCCUAAGAAAACACUCAUGAAUAUGUGUAAAUAUAUGAACAUUUAUCACAAUGUUUAUAAUAGCAAAUAAUUUAAAGCAACACAGUUAAUAAAUUAUAUAUAAAACAAAUAUUAUUUAUCCACUAAACUGAUGUUGUAAAUGGCUCAUAUUUAUGAAAAAUACCCAAUUGCAUUCAUAAUAAGAUAAAUGCAAAUUAAAACUACUUGACAUAUUAUAUUGGCAAAAAUACACUCAGUGCGUAAGGCUGUGUGGAAGCAAACGCUCUUAAACAGUGCUGGUGGGAAUGUAAAUUGAUAUAAUUCCUGUAUCAAUUGGGACAAUUUGGAAAUAUUUGUCAAAAUUACAAAAACACAUACUUCUUAGCCCACUCUUUUGUUUUCCACCCAGCAUCUUACAGAUAUAUUUGCAUACAUGUGAGAUGACGUAUGUACAGGGUCGUUCACUGAAGUAUUGUUUUAAUAGCCAAAGAUUGUAAACAACUCAAAUGUCCAACAAGAGACUGGCAAAGUAAAAUAUGGUACAUUCAUCAGCUAAGCAGCUGUAAAAAAGAACAAGGACGCUCUCUAUGCGCAAAUGUAAAAUGAUUUUCAAGUGGAAAAAGCAAGGAACACAAAACAGUGUAUAGUAUGCCGUAUGCUACCUUUUGUUUAAAAGGGCAUAUGUAAGAAGCUGUGUUUGCUUGUGUAGGCAUAGGGAAAUGCAGGAAGGAUAUGUAAGAAACUAACAGUUGUUAUUUAUGGAGGGAGGGAUUUGAGAACUAGGUAGAUAGAGGAUAAGAAUGGGAUGGAGACAUGCAAACAUGUCACCUAUUAGAAGAAUAGUUAAUGAGGAGGAAAAAUGCAUAGUAUAUAUUUAAAUGGA
rnacentral:lncRNA from 1 species